rnacentral:rRNA from 1 species
UGGGGAAUAUUGGGCAAUGGGCGAAAGCCUGACCCAGCGACGCCGCGUGGGCGAUGAAGGCCUUCGGGUCGUAAAGCCCUGUCAUGCGGAAAGAAAAGUCCCGCGAUUAAUACUCGCGAGAUGUGACGGUACCGCAGAAGGAAGCACCGGCUAACUCCGUGCCAGCAGCCGCGGUAAUACGGAGGGUGCAAGCGUUGUUCGGAAUUACUGGGCGUAAAGGGCGCGUAGGCGGUAAUAUAAGUCAAAUGUGAAAUCCUCCAGCUUAACUGGAGAACAGCAUCUGAAACUGUGUAACUAGAGUACAGGAGAGGGAAACGGAAUUCCCGGUGUAGAGGUGAAAUUCGUAGAUAUCGGGAGGAACACCAGUGGCGAAGGCGGUUUCCUGGCCUGAUACUGACGCUGAGGCGCGAAAGCGUGGGGAGCAAACAGG